UACGGGGGGGGCAAGCGUUGUUCGGAAUUACUGGGCGUAAAGGGCUCGUAGGCGGCCAACUAAGUCAGACGUGAAAUCCCUCGGCUUAACCGGGGAACUGCGUCUGAUACUGGAUGGCUUGAAUUCGGGAGAGGGAUGCGGAAUUCCAGGUGUAGCGGUGAAAUGCGUAGAUAUCUGGAGGAACACCGGUGGCGAAGGCGGCAUCCUGGACCAACACUGACGCUGAGUGAGCGAAAGCCAGGGGAGCAAACGGG
rnacentral:rRNA from 1 species